rnacentral:rRNA from 1 species
UACAGAGGGGGCAAGCGUUGUUCGGAAUUACUGGGCGUAAAGGGCGCGUAGGCGGCCUUCUAAGUCGAACGUGAAAUCCCCGGGCUCAACCCGGGAACUGCGUCCGAGACUGAAAGGCUUGAAUCCGGGAGAGGGAUGUGGAAUUCCAGGUGUAGCGGUGAAAUGCGUAGAUAUCUGGAGGAACACCGGUGGCGAAGGCGGGUCUCUGGGCCGAUACUGACGCUGAGGAGCGAAAGCGUGGGGAGCGAACAGG